rnacentral:lncRNA from 1 species
CAUGUUCAUCAUUCCAUCAUAAACUACUAAGUCAUAUAUCAUAACUUAGAAUCAAAAUAAUAUUAAGCAUUGCCACUUCAUACUGGCAUACCAAACAAGUGUAUAUACACUGUCUACACAUGUAUCUUAAUAAUUCACAUUAAGUUCGUCUAUACACAACAAAAUAAUACUCGACUUCUAGUGGAGAGACUCUGAUGAAUGUACAGCUACUGAAUGCCGAGACACCUACCAAGGGUCGAAUAUACGAAGACAUUUCGACCUAGUUACCAG